CCAGUGGUCGACCUUUCGAGCGCCAGCACGAGCGCGCCGCCUGAGCGCCAGCCAAGCCCGGCCGUCAGCCGCCCUGGCAGCCAGCGCUCUGUGCCGAUGCCUGUCUGCCUGCCGCCUGCCUCCGCCGCCUGGCCUCCGCGCCACCUUCCCGCUCAGUCAGCAUCGCUCGGCCGUCUCGCCCGGACGCCGCGCCAGCUCCCGCCCGCCGCGUCACGCAGGAUAAAGAUAAAUAUAUCAAUGAAUAGAUAAAAAAGAAAGAAAGAAAGAAAAAAAGAGCAAUAUUAUUACGGGAUCUAAAGUGAGUGUCUAUGAAAAGAGAACAACAAAGAAAAUAAGAAUUAAUACGAAAGAAAGAAAGAAAAAGAAUAAUAAAAAUGACACCAAGUAACUAGUAAAAAAAUCCUAUUCCUUCCUAUGAGUGUUUGAAAAAAGA